rnacentral:rRNA from 1 species
CAGUCGAACGGAAAGGCCCCUAGCUUGCUGGGGGUACUCGAGUGGCGAACGGGUGAGUAACACGUGGGUGAUCUGCCCUGCACUUCGGGAUAAGCUUGGGAAACUGGGUCUAAUACCGGAUAUGAACGGUCUUUGGUGUGAUUGUUGGAAAGAUUUUUUCGGUGUGGGAUGAGCUCGCGGCCUAUCAGCUUGUUGGUGGGGUAAUGGCCUACCAAGGCGUCGACGGGUAGCCGGCCUGAGAGGGUGUACGGCCACAUUGGGACUGAGAUACGGCCCAGACUCCUACGGGAGGCAGCAGUGGGGAAUAUUGCACAAUGGGCGCAAGCCUGAUGCAGCGACGCCGCGUGGGGGAUGAAGGCCUUCGGGUUGUAAACUCCUUUCGCUAGGGACGAAGCCUUUUUUAAGGUGACGGUACCUGGAUAAGAAGCACCGGCUAACUACGUGCCAGCAGCCGCGGUAAUACGUAGGGUGCAAGCGUUGUCCGGAAUUACUGGGCGUAAAGAGCUCGUAGGUGGUUUGUCGCGUCGUCUGUGAAAUUCCGGGGCUUAACUCCGGGCGUGCAGGCGAUACGGGCAUAACUUGAGUGCUGUAGGGGAGACUGGAAUUCCUGGUGUAGCGGUGAAAUGCGCAGAUAUCAGGAGGAACACCGAUGGCGAAGGCAGGUCUCUGGGCAGUAACUGACGCUGAGGAGCGAAAGCAUGGGUAGCGAACAGGAUUAGAUACCCUGGUAGUCCAUGCCGUAAACGGUGGGCGCUAGGUGUAGGGGGCUUCCACGUCUUCUGUGCCGUAGCUAACGCAUUAAGCGCCCCGCCUGGGGAGUACGGCCGCAAGGCUAAAACUCAAAGGAAUUGACGGGG